rnacentral:rRNA from 1 species
AACGAACGCUGGCGGCAUGCCUAACACAUGCAAGUCGAACGAGACCUUCGGGUCUAGCGGCGCACGGGUGCGUAACGCGUGGGAACCUGCCCUUAGGUUCGGAAUAACUCCCCGAAAGGGGUGCUAAUACCGGAUAAUGUCUUCGGACCAAAGAUUUAUCGCCUUUGGAUGGGCCCGCGUUGGAUUAGCUAGUUGGUAGGGUAAAAGCCUACCAAGGCGACGAUCCAUAGCUGGUCUGAGAGGAUGAUCAGCCACACUGGGACUGAGACACGGCCCAGACUCCUACGGGAGGCAGCAGUGGGGAAUAUUGGACAAUGGGCGAAAGCCUGAUCCAGCAAUGCCGCGUGAGUGAUGAAGGCCUUAGGGUUGUAAAGCUCUUUUACCCGGGAUGAUAAUGACAGUACCGGGAGAAUAAGCUCCGGCUAACUCCAUG